rnacentral:rRNA from 1 species
UGGCACUUGUGUCGGCAUGUGCAGGAUAGGUGGUAGGCUUUGAAGUCGGGGCGCCAGCCUCGAUGGAGCCGCAAGAUGAGAUACCACCCUUAUCGUCAUAGGUGUCUAACCGCGGCAUAACAGUGUCCGGGACAGCGCAUGGUGGGUAGUUUGACUGGGGCGGUCUCCUCCUAAAGAGUAACGGAGGAGUACGAAGGUGCGCUCAGAACGGUCGGAAAUCGUUCGAAGAGUAUAAAGGCAAAAGCGCGCUUAACUGCGAGACCCACAAGUCGAGCAGAUACGAAAGUAGGUCUUAGUGAUCCGGUGGUUCUGUAUGGAAGGGCCAUCGCUCAACGGAUAAAAGGUACUCUGGGGAUAACAGGCUGAUACCGCCCAAGAG